rnacentral:rRNA from 1 species
AUUGAACGCUGGCGGCAGGCCUAACACAUGCAAGUCGAACGAGUGGCGGACGGGUGAGUAAUGUCUGGGAAACUGCCUGAUGGAGGGGGAUAACUACUGGAAACGGUAGCUAAUACCGCAUACCAUCAGAUGUGCCCAGAUGGGAUUAGCUAGUAGGUGGGGUAAAGGCUCACCUAGGCGACGAUCCCUAGCUGGUCUGAGAGGAUGACCAGCAGCACGGGAACGGAGACACGGGCCAGCUUCGUACGGGAGGAAGCAGUGGGGAAUAUUGCACAAUGGGGGCAAGCCUGAGGCAGCCAUGCGGCGUGUAUGAAGAAGGCAUUCGGGUUGUAAAGUACUUUCAGCGGGGAGGCGGUACCCGCAGAAGAAGAACCGGCUAACUCCGUGCCAGCAGCCGCGGUAAUAC